rnacentral:rRNA from 1 species
GAUGAACGCUGGCGGCGUGCCUAAUACAUGCAAGUCGAGCGAACAGACGAGGAGCUUGCUCCUCUGACGUUAGCGGCGGACGGGUGAGUAACACGUGGAUAACCUACCUAUAAGACUGGGAUAACUUCGGGAAACCGGAGCUAAUACCGGAUAAUAUAUUGAACCGCAUGGUUCAAUAGUGAAAGACGGUUUUGCUGUCACUUAUAGAUGGAUCCGCGCCGCAUUAGCUAGUUGGUAAGGUAACGGCUUACCAAGGCAACGAUGGGUAGCCGACCUGAGAGGGCGACCGGCCAAACGGGGACUGAGAGACGGCCCAGACUCCUACGGGAGGCAGCAGUGGGGAAUAUUGCACAAUGGGCGGAAGACUGAGGCAGCGACGCCGCGUGAGGGAUGACGGCCUUCGGGGUGUAAACCUCUUUCAGCAGGGACGAAGCGUAAGUGACGGUACCUGCAGAAGAAGCGACGGCCAACUACGUG